rnacentral:rRNA from 1 species
AGUGAACGCUGGCGGCGUGCUUAACACAUGCAAGUCGAGCGGAAAGGCUCCUUCGGGGGUACUCGAGCGGCGAACGGGUGAGUAACACGUGAGUAAUCUGCCCUGCGCUCUGGGAUAGCCACCGGAAACGGUGAUUAAUACCGGAUAUGACCGCUACACGCAUGUGUUGGUGGUGGAAAGUUUUUCGGCGCAGGAUGUGCUCGCGGCCUAUCAGCUUGUUGGUGAGGUAAUGGCUCACCAAGGCUUUGACGGGUAGCCGGCCUGAGAGGGUGACCGGUCACACUGGGACUGAGACACGGCCCAGACUCCUACGGGAGGCAGCAGUGGGGAAUAUUGGACAAUGGGCGGAAGCCUGAUCCAGCAACGCCGCGUGAGGGAUGACGGCCUUCGGGUUGUAAACCUCUUUCAGUACCGACGAAGCGAAAGUGACGGUAGGUACAGAAGAAGGACCGGCCAACUACGUGCCAGCAGCCGCAGUAAAAC